AUAUUACUAAGUCAUUACAUAAACAAUAGCAAUAGCAUUUAGACUUAUGUACCAUCUCACCGUGCUUUAUAGCCUCUCUAAUUCUUUUACAGAGUCAGCAUAUUGCCCCCAACAAGCUGGGUCCUCAUUUUACCCACCUCAGAAGAAUGGAAGGCUGAGUCAGCCUUGAGCCUUGUGAGAUUUGAACUGCCAAA